rnacentral:tRNA from 1 species
GCGGCGGUCGCCCGUAAGAACGUCACCGUCUAGGGGAUCCUCUGCGGAAGGUCGCGGGUUCGACCCCCGUCCGCCGCU